GUCGACGAUGAUGCCCAGCUUGCUGGGUGGAUUAGUGGCGAACGGGUGAGUAACACGUGAGUAACCUGCCCCUGACUCUGGGAUAAGCGUUGGAAACGACGUCUAAUACUGGAUAUGAUCACUGGCCGCAUGGUCUGGUGGUGGAAAGAUUUUUUGGUUGGGGAUGGACUCGCGGCCUAUCAGCUUGUUGGUGAGGUAAUGGCUCACCAAGGCGACGACGGGUAGCCGGCCUGAGAGGGUGACCGGCCACACUGGGACUGAGACACGGCCCAGACUCCUACGGGAGGCAGCAGUGGGGAAUAUUGCACAAUGGGCGAAAGCCUGAUGCACCAACGCCGCGUGAGGGAUGACGGCCUUCGGGUUGUAAACCUCUUUUAGUAGGGAAGAAGCGAAAGUGACGGUACCUGCAAAAAAAGCACCGGCUAACUACGUGCCAGCAGCCGCGGUAAUACGUAGGGUGCAAGCGUUGUCCGGAAUUAUUGGGCGUAAAGAGCUCGUAGGCGGUUUGUCGCGUCUGCUGUGAAAUCCCGAGGCUCAACCUCGGGCUUGCAGUGGGUACGGGCAGACUAGAGUGCGGUAGGGGAGAUUGGAAUUCCUGGUGUAGCGGUGGAAUGCGCAGAUAUCAGGAGGAAC
rnacentral:rRNA from 1 species